ensembl:lncRNA
CAGAGAGCACCCCGACCACUCCCCCCAGGCCAGACACAGAGGGGCAGGCAGAGGGCCAUGCCAGGAGGAUCCACCAGCACAGAAUUUCCUCCCACUCAAAGGCCGAGAUUCAUGUCUUCUGAGUAAGAAAAUCAAACUCCAUCACUUCGCAAUCAAGAUUAGCCGCAGCCCCAGAGGAUGAAUUACUCACCAGAUUGCCAUCUGGGAAACGUCCACGGCUCUAUCUCUUCCUGGGUGAGGAGUCCCAGAUGUCCAGAUGUGGGGGCCGCUGGCUACCAUGGCGACCAGACCAACACAGAGCAGCCUCUCCACGCUGUGCUCCAGGGAGGUGGCCUAACCCAAAUUCUCUCCUGCCACCAGACCCAGGCUUCCCACUCAAGUGGAAGCAAGUCCCUAAGAGGGUCUCAAAUGCCCGCUGUCUGUCAUCCACCAAAGCCCAGCUAGGGGUCCAAUGGAACACCACACAGACCAGAAGCUUCUGGAAGAUGGAGGGCAGGCUCUUCCACCCUGGAUCACUGUCCUGAUGGAAGGUCUGCGGCACCGCCCUCCCCAGAGGGAAAGCUAAACAUUGCGGUCAGGACUUGGUGUUCCCACGCGGCCCGUGAAAGCCCCUGUCCUCGCUGUUGACUGUGGUGCUAAGAGCUGUGCUGCCCCACCCCACAAGAGGCUCAGAAAUAGCAGCCUUGGAAGUCGUGCCCACCUCCCCCUGGACCACGAGCGACCCUCACCCAGAGCGGCCCUGCCUGCACAUAUGAGAAUGCUGCCCCUGCCCUGUGAAGCCCCCAUGCUUGUCCACCAAGAAGAAGUUUUGCAGCUGGGAUGGCCAUGACCUGUCGGGGAGACGAGAUGGAAUUCUACUCAGUGGCUCUUCUAAUAAAGCCAUUAUGUUCCUAAGAAAAGGGGCACAGCUGGCAGAUACCCCCUGCCCUGCCCUGCUCUUUCUUCCCUCCUGGAGCACAGAGGGUGUCUGGCCACGGAGCCAGCACCCUUGGAAGCCAGACUGAAGCUCACACUGAAGGAGGAGCAGACUCUUGGCGUCCACACCAGCCCCAGACUGCCUCUCUCUGGACGUCUUGAGAAAAGGGGAAACGGACGCUGUCCCAAAGUGAUGGACAAACUGCUGCUACUUCUGUCAAACACAGCUCUGCUGAGUGAAAAGACCUGCCUGUUCCCAGGCCUCCCCAGCCAGACCCUGAAAUGGGGCAGGCCUUCCCCCCAGGGUCAGAGGGUGCCCCAUCCACCUAGCACCCUGCCCAAGAGCAGGGCACCUGUUUCCUUGAGGUGCCCAGCCCAUCUCCUCUGGCCCCUCACCUCACUGGAGAUGGCAUGUCCCUUGUCACAGCAGCUGCCUCCUCCCUGGCGGGAGCCUUGCAGAACAACUCAGUCCAUGAUGACUGUCCAGGUGACCAUCCAUGGUGACCAUCCAUGCCACACAGACGGCUGGGGGCUUCUGAGACCUGCGUUUCUGCUCUUCAAGGAGUCAACAGCCAACUCCUCGGGUCAGAAGGUACUUGUGGCAAAAAUCACUGGCUGUCAAAAAAGUUCAGGAAGUAUCUUCCACAAAUCACGAAGACCAGAUGUGUAACCAGUGGGAGAGAUUUUUUUCCAAGGGGUUGAUCACUAAAAAGUAAAUGAUCCAGCCCCCUGUGGGCACACCCACUGCCCCGGCCGCUGCCCCUCCCCCAGGGCUGCUGUCCUUGUGGUCACAGACACCUCAGGGUCUCUCCCCUGCUUCCUCUUUCAUCGUAUGUUUCAUGGUCCACGAGCUGGACUAGGUCACAGGCCUGUUCUGUGUUGG